GUGAAGGUGGCGGACGGGUGAGUAACGCGUAAAGAACUUGCCUUACAGACUGGGACAACAUUUGGAAACGAAUGCUAAUACCGGAUAUUAUGAUUGGGUCGCAUGAUCUGAUUAUGAAAGCUAUAUGCGCUGUGAGAGAGCUUUGCGUCCCAUUAGUUAGUUGGUGAGGUAACGGCUCACCAAGACGAUGAUGGGUAGCCGGCCUGAGAGGGUGAACGGCCACAAGGGGACUGAGACACGGCCCUUACUCCUACGGGAGGCAGCAGUGGGGAAUAUUGGACAAUGGACCAAAAGUCUGAUCCAGCAAUUCUGUGUGCACGAAGAAGUUUUUCGGAAUGUAAAGUGCUUUCAGUUGGGAAGAAGUCAGUGACGGUACCAACAGAAGAAGCGACGGCUAAAUACGUGCCAGCAGCCGCGGUAAUACGUAUGUCGCAAGCGUUAUCCGGAUUUAUUGGGCGUAAAGCGCGUCUAGGCGGCUUAGUAAGUCUGAUGUGAAAAUGCGGGGCUCAACCCCGUAUUGCGUUGGAAACUGCUAAACUAGAGUACUGGAGAGGUAGGCGGAACUACAAGUGUAGAGGUGAAAUUCGUAGAUAUUUGUAGGAAUGCCGAUGGGGAAGCCAGCCUACUGGA
rnacentral:rRNA from 1 species